CAGGCACCUUAGGUGAGUGUGAUACAUUUCCUGUCUUCAAAGUUCUAGCUGUCUUGCAGACAGGCAGACGACUAACCAGGCAGUUUCAACACAAUGGCACAAGCACUCUGAUGGAGGAAGCACCAAGCAUUGUAGAAGCAGCCUAUUAACUGGGCUCACAGGAAGUCACACGUUUUGGUUCACAAUUCAACUGGAAGUCAUUCAAGAGCCCAUCCCAGAGUGGUUCUGUGACUUUCCUAGGGAAGCAGUAAAAGAAGGAAGUGCAGGAGCUGAAUCAGUUGCAGCCGCACAGAGACAGAGCUCAGGGCUACCUCCUGGGCCCCAGCUGACCUCACUCCUGGCUUUGCAGCCGCUGACCUCAGCAGAUUUCAAGGAUUCCUUCUCAUCUUGGUGCUUUCUAAAUGCAAGAAGGCCUUACCAGAUGCACCUCCCUGAUUCCGCAUUUCCCAGACUGCAGAACUGUGAGCCAAAGUGACUGCUUUUCUUUAUUACCAAGUCUGUGAUCCUGUG